CCCUGGAAGGCACUGUAAUCCAUUUCACCGAUCCUAGGGUCUGGUUGCAGGUCGGCCAGGGCUCAAAUUGGCCGUCUCAGAGCAGCCAUGCUUUCAAGCAUGAGCCAACACUCAGGGUCUGUGUCCUUGGACUGAAUCCUCAGAGGAUUCAAAAUCCAUCGUGUGUGCUUCUGAGAGUAACUUUAGCAUGCACAUUUUUUUCUCGGUAUCUAAAUCCUUUAAGAUGUUCUCACCGUGGGUCAAAUGGAGUGAUCCCAGUGUUGUGUUUCCUUACAUCACCUCUAAAGCAGAAACCCGAGAAGGGCAGAAUGAUAUUCUGUUGUAAGUGUGUCCACUCAUCUAAGGAUGGACACAGACGAUAUCCACAUGAGGUGCUGAUUUCCAUAGGAGGGGUGCGGAUAUCCGUGAGGUGCUGAUUUCAUUCCACUGGUUCUGUCCCCAGCAGAGGGAUUCCACGUCACCUGCCAGCUCUGUUCUUGAUGCUGUAAGCACUGUCUUUCUUACCCUCAGCCACCUGUUUGAGCUGCUUUCUAGAAAGCUCUCCAGGUGGGUUGAUUGCUGCUUGAGGAUUGGUUCAGCUGGACAACUUGUCCGUGGUGAUGGGUGUACCGACAGAAGGUUCCAGAGGCAGAGUGGUGCCCGGGAGCUCCGUCCCUGCUCCACAGUGUGCCGAGUGCAGCAGACGUCGCGGAGGACAUGAGAUCAAUGAAGGGAACAGCUGCGGCCAUGAGAGCCAUUGACCUGCUCAGUGACAAGGAAGAGUGCUCACAUGGUAGAGAACGCGCCUUUUCUGCCUUCAGUCCCCCUCACCCAGCACCGGGACCUGCUGGCUUCACCUGACGAGAAAGUUUAGCACCGGGUAACAGUGAGGUGGGAGCAGCGGCUGCAGCCUUGCAUGAAGACAUGGGUAGGAAUUAUUCAAGCUACGACACUAGAUCACCUGCGAGAUUGUGCCCAGAUAUUUGGCCGGCUUGCCUGUCGACACGCAGGCAGCCCCUACUGGGGCUGUUAAGUGCUCUUGAUUGGCCUGGACAGCCCUGCUUCCCCAGGGGAAGUUUUAGGAUGAAAAAAUAUAAUCAGAAGGGACCCGGCAGAAGACAGAAGCCAAAAGGGUUCCAGAAUGGACCACUGUGGGCGGGACUGCUUGGGAAGUCUGCACAGAGCCUGUCAGAUUAUCUGUCUGCAGCAAUUAUGUUGAUAAAUUUGCCACAGGUCGCAUCUUAGCCGUUGCAUCAUUUUGUGGUGUGUCACCAGGAAGCACAGGCCUCUGUUUGGGCCCCUCCUGGCACAAGGAGGAAGAGACACAGGUGACUGCUCACGUGGGUCUGUUGCAAAUGCCCUCAGAGUACUUGCCUUCCUGUGUCUCCUUUUACCAGUCCUGGGACUUAAUCUGUCUAAAUGAAAGUUGUCUUCGGUUGCUCCAGGUCUUUACU